UACGUAGGGUGCAAGCGUUAAUCGGAAUUACUGGGCGUAAAGCGUGCGCAGGCGGUUAUGUAAGACAGGUGUGAAAUCCCCGGGCUUAACCUGGGAACUGCAUUUGUGACUGCAUCGCUGGAGUGCGGCAGAGGGGGAUGGAAUUCCGCGUGUAGCAGUGAAAUGCGUAGAUAUGCGGAGGAACACCGAUGGCGAAGGCAAUCCCCUGGGCCUGCACUGACGCUCAUGCACGAAAGCGUGGGGAGCAACAGG
rnacentral:rRNA from 1 species